rnacentral:rRNA from 1 species
CAGUUCGGAUUGUAGUCUGCAACUCGACUACAUGAAGCUGGAAUCGCUAGUAAUCGCAGAUCAGAAUGCUGCGGUGAAUACGUUCCCGGGCCUUGUACACACCGCCCGUCAAGCCAUGGAAGCCGGGGGCGCUUGAAGUGCGUUGCCGCAAGGCGCGCCCUAGAGCGAAACCGGUGACUGGGGCUAAGUCGUAACAAGGUAAC